rnacentral:lncRNA from 1 species
GGGCCGCUUUUAGUAUAGAUGAAAAAACUAACAGCUAUUCCGAUACAUUAUUUAGAGUUAUUGUUGUUUAUUAUGAUAUUAGUAAUGGUCAAUAUUUUCAUUUACAUAUUUUUAUGCAAAGUUUUAAUUUUCAAAAUUCAGAUUUUUGCAUUAACUUAUUCUUUAAAAAUAAUUUUGUGAUAAAAAAUAAUGUUUUUAUUCAUUGAAAAGUCCAGGGAAGACUAAUAAUGUUUUUAUUC